rnacentral:rRNA from 1 species
UACGUAGGGUGCGAGCGUUGUCCGGAAUUAUUGGGCGUAAAGGGCUCGUAGGCGGUUUGUCGCGUCGGGUGUGAAAACCCAGGGCUUAACCCUGGGCUGGCUUCCGAUACGGGCAGACUAGAGGUAUGCAGGGGAGAACGGAAUUCCUGGUGUAGCGGUGAAAUGCGCAGAUAUCAGGAGGAACACCGGUGGCGAAGGCGGUUCUCUGGGCAUUACCUGACGCUGAGGAGCGAAAGUGUGGGGAGCGAACAGG